AGCAGCCGCGGUAAUUCCAGCUCCAAUAGCGUAUAUUAAAGUUGUUGCAGUUAAAAAGCUCGUAGUUGAAUUUCGGGGUCAGUAGGUUGGCCGUGCCACAGGUAUGUACUGGCUUCACUGAUUCCUCCUUCUUGAAGAACUGUGAUGCCAUUAAUUUGGUGUUGCAGGGAAACAGGACUGUUACUUUGAAAAAAUUAGAGUGUUUAAAGCAGGCUAACGCUUGAAUACAUUAGCAUGGAAUAAUGAAAUAGGACGUGGAUCCUAUUUUGUUGGUUUCUAGGAUUAACGUAAUGAUUAAUAGGGAUAGUUGGGGGCAUUAGUAUUCAAUUGUCAGAGGUGAAAUUCUUGGAUUUAUUGAAGACUAACUACUGCGAAAGCAUUUGCCAAGGAUGUUUUCAUUAAUCAAGAACGAAAGUUAGGGGAUCGAAGACGAUCAGAUACCGUCGUAGUCUUAACCAUAAACUAUGCCGACUAGGGAUCGGAUGAUGUUAAUUUUUUAAUGACUCAUUCGGCGCCUUAA
rnacentral:rRNA from 1 species